rnacentral:misc_RNA from 1 species
GUGACAUUUCACCAUAAAAGAUAUAUACAACCUGCUAUGUAAAUGGUACAAAAGCAAGUAAUUAUAAGACAUUAUUGAGGAAAAACUAUUGUCUUACUGUUCUACUCAGCACUAUGUAGAGUCAUAUAAGGUCAGUCUUCAUUAGUUUGUCUUUCCAGGGCUGGAAGGCGUUUCCGCUUUUGCUUACGCCUGCCUCCACAUGCUUGUACACGAAAAAUAUUUCAUCGAAACCAUUAGCCCGAGUCCUUGCACUCAGUAUAACUUUCUCUAGAGUAGCUUAUGGGCGUAGUAACCUGACUCAUCCUGGAAAUCCUAAGCUUGUCCAACAUGUAUGGUCAAUGCCACUUCCUGUAGUAGCAUACGACAGGGUCAUCCAAGUGGAGCAGCCAAUGUGUCAGUAUACACUCGUUUUUCUUGACUUCCAGCGCAGCAGUUGGCCUAGCGCCAUCGAUCCAAGAGUUUGAAGAUCCCAUUGAGUUUUGUCAUUGUAGGGAGAAAGCAAACACCAGACCACAUAAAAUCGAAAAAAUAAGACUGCUCGACUAGUUGAAAAAAUAGGGAGAUUCAAGAACUUCUCUUAGAUCGAAAUCACCCCGCUCCGGUAACGGGGGGAACUGCAAGUCAGGGAACGACUGCUGAAAACUCUCCAAUAAAUUUUCCAGUAUGGGUGCGUCGUAGAGUUCAACAAAUUUUUCUCUCAAAAUCUUGUUCAUUUGGUCAACAUCAGAUGCAUGUGUCCAGUAUGAAUCAUGCACUCCUGCAAAACUUAAGCCAGCUUCUUUGCAGGCAAUGGCAGUCAUCAUCAUGUGGGAACCAUCAAGAGAGUGAACAAAAUUUGGAGGAAAUGCUGUUCUCUGUCGCUUAACCAUUACCUUAUCU